UAGGUAUUGCUUAUUAGUAUCCUACUAGUAACUAUUAGAGUAUGAAUAAUCAACUAUAGUUAGUUGAUAGGUAAACUAGAGUUAGUAGCUUGGUUAGAAGUUAGUUAGAGUUAGUUACUCAAACUAAUCUCUAUAUAUAGGAACACUAUUGUACUCAUUCACUAUCUUUUGUUAAAUCUAGUUUACUCUCCUAUAAGUCACUAUGGGUAUCUCCCACAUGAAUACACCUAUGCUCUCUUUCUAGUUGAUCACUAUGAUCUUUAUCCUUGGGAUUCCUUGAUUACUAACAUGGUAUCAGAGCGAUACCCUAGGGAUGAAGAUGAUGAUGCUUCCGCUUCCGCUUCCGAUUCAGUACUCGAUGAAGAUGACGAUUCUGUUAGUGAUGAAGUUCUUGCGGUUUCUGCACCAAUUCUUGAAACUUCAGCCUCUCACGAUUGCAUCUUUUUCGGCAGUUUUGAUUCUCCAAUUGUUCCGGUUUCUACUCCUUCAAUCGAACCAAAAUUUGAUGGAUUCUCCGUCAAAAUUGGUGAGAUUUCAUGCGUAUUCGUUGAUUCUUGCAAGAACAUCGUCAAUUUUGACGAUUCUGUGUUCAUCGCUUCCGAAGAAAACGGUUACGUGAAGGUUCUUGAACCAGAAUUGAAGAUUCGCAACUCUGUUUACGGUUUCUCUGAAGCUUCGGAACAUUUCAUCACACACGCAACUCCGGUGAGAUUGAGGAAUACUGUUUACGGCGUCGCCGCUGCGAGACCUUCCGCCUUGUGGUUGCUCGUCGGAAAACAGGCUGAACCAAUUGCUUCUGAUGUCGACGACAAGAUUCGGUCCUUUCAGUUACAUGACGAAUUCAUUGUUGAUUUUGAUCCCGGUGGAAGCGUUUUCUCGUGUUCGUUGUUCUCCGUUCUCACUGUCCUCCGACGAAUCCAUUUUCGCUUGUGGUGGAUACCUUGGGAUAGAGGAAAGAAAGGUUUGUGUUCGUUCGAUUCAACACACGCCAUUGCAGAAGCUUGAGUUUUUGGUUACUUUCAGCAAAUUGAUUCAAAUUCUUGUGAGAAGAAAAGCACAGGAACGCAGUAUCGCGUUUUGUUAAAAGCGGAUUCUAGAAGAUGUUUUUUGCAAAAGCUAUAUUGGUUCAGAUGUAAUUUUUUGUCAUGUUUUGCACAUUCUUGAUUCAACAUCGCUUUCCAGCAUCAGUUUUCAGAAUCUUGUUCUAAGCAGAAACAGGAAAAGCACUUUUGGUAUAAGUUGUUUCUGGUUCAGUUGUGUGAUUCAAUUAGCUGUGUUUGACACAUCACGUUUCACAUAAUCAUUUUUUUUUUUUUGGAGAAGCUGGUUUUGUGGAAAAGCUGGUUUGGUAAAAUGAGUUUGGAAAAGCCGUUUUGAAUAAGAUACUUUUGGUUCAGUGGCGUUUCGAAUAAGCUGGUUUACAGUUUCGCAGAAUCACGUUUUCAUGUUUGAUUAUCAGAAUCAGUAAGCUAUUUUGGUUGAAGAGCGUUCCUGAAACUACAAAGAAGGAUGAAUGUGUUGUGUUGUGCUACUGUGUUCAAUUCAGAUUUCUCUUAUGGGCUUCCUCUACAUCAUUGAACUCAAUCAUGGGCCUUCACAUACUUUCAACACAGUGUUGUCACUAGUUUUCAUCUCCUGUUUUUACUUAGCUUACAAUAUAAGGAAUAACUUGUAUUUUCAUUGUAUUUCAAACUCAAAUUGGUGAGUUUUCCCACUUUGAGUUUGAGGGGGACUAUUAGAGUAUGAAUAAUCAACUAUAGUUAGUUGAUAGGUAAACUAGAGUUAGUAGCUUGGUUAGAAGUUAGUUAGAGUUAGUUACUCAAACUAAUCUCUAUAUAUAGGAACACUAUUGUACUCAUUCACUAUCUUUUGUUAAAUCUAGUUUACUCUCCUAUGAGUCACUAUGGGUAUCUCCCACAUGAAUACACCUAUGCUCUCUUUCUAGCUGAUCACUAUGAUCUUUAUCCUUGGGAUUCCUUGAUUACUAACAGUAAACAAAAAAAAUCAUAUAGGGUUUAAAGUGUCA
rnacentral:lncRNA from 1 species